UACGUAGGGGGCAAGCGUUGUCCGGAUUUAUUGGGCGUAAAAGGCUUGUAGGUGGCCACGCCAAGUCGGAUGUGAAAUCUCCCGGCUCAACUGGGAGGGGUCAUUCGAUACUGGCGGGCUCGAGGCCGGUAGGGGGAAGUGGAAUUCCCGGUGUAGUGGUGGAAUGCGUAGAUAUCGGGAGGAACACCGGUGGCGAAGGCGGGUCUCUGGGCCGAUACUGACGCUGAGGAGCGAAAGCGUGGGGAGCGAACAGG
rnacentral:rRNA from 1 species